UACGUAGGGUCCAAGCGUUGUCCGGAAUUAUUGGGCGUAAAGAGCUCGUAGGCGGCGUGUCGCGUCGGAUGUGAAAGCCCGGGGCUUAACUCCGGGUCUGCAUUCGGUACGGGCAUGCUGGAGUUCGGUAGGGGAGACUGGAAUUCCUGGUGUAGCGGUGAAAUGCGCAGAUAUCAGGAGGAACACCGGUGGCGAAGGCAGCAAACUGGCCGGCAUCUGACGCUGAGGCGCGAAAGCGUGGGUAGCAAACAGG
rnacentral:rRNA from 1 species